rnacentral:sRNA from 1 species
GGGGAAAUGGCGGCCUCAGGAGAGAGCGGGACUUCGGGCGGUGGAGGCAGCACCGAGGAAGCAUUUAUGACCUUCUACAGUGAGGUGAAACAAAUAGAGAAGAGAGACUCGGUUCUAACUUCGAAAAAUCAGAUUGAAAGACUGACUCGUCCUGGUUCCUCUUACUUCAAUUUGAACCCAUUUGAGGUUCUUCAGAUAGAUCCUGAAGUUACAGAUGAAGAAAUAAAAAAGAGGUUUCGGCAGUUAUCCAUCUUGGUGCAUCCUGACAAAAAUCAAGAUGAUGCUGACAGAGCACAAAAGGCUUUUGAAGGUAUUUGUAAAUUUACCUGCUUCUGAGUAUUAGAUUGUGAAUGGCAGAGCCUAACUGUUCCUUGUCCUAGAUCAAGCAAAGACUGUUAUAGUUUUGUCUUCUGGUCACCAAGAAGCUGUGGUUUUCAGUAGAGCAGUUGCCAUUUCAAAGCAGAAUGUUGUUGUUUAAGAAGUAGACCUUAACUUUGCUUUGUUAAAACUUUUAUAUGCCAACAAAGACUGUUAUUGCAUAGGAUCAUUUUUUUUCUUUGAACAUAAAGAAUUUUAUCACUGAAUUAAAUCCAGAUGUGGUGUAUUUAGCCUUGAGUAUAUAUUUAAUUUUUUCCAAGGCUCUCAAGGAAAGUCAUUGCUAUAGUUGAAUGUUUUUUAACUUAGUUUAACGACAGUAAAUAAUUAAAGUAGGGAAUGCU